rnacentral:rRNA from 1 species
UGAAAAUCGGCCGGGCUUACCAUGCAAGUCGAACGCGAAAAGGCUUCGGCCUCGGUAGCGUGGCGUCCGGGUGAGUAACACGUAGGGAAUCUACCCUGAAGCGGGGGAUAACGUUCCGAAAGGAACGCUAAUACCGCGUAAGACCACGACGGCUACGGCCGAUGCGGUCAAAGAUGGCCUCUGUAUACAAGCUAUCGCUUCAGGAUGACUCUGCGGCCCAUCAGCUAGUUGGUAGGGUAAUGGCCUACCAAGGCGAAGACGGGUAGCUGGUCUGAGAGGAUGAUCAGCCACACUGGCACUGAAACACGGGCCAGACUCCUACGGGAGGCAGCAGUGGGGAAUAUUGGUCAAUGGGCGCAAGCCUGAACCAGCCACGCCGCGUGAGUGAUGAAGGCCUUCGGGUUGUAAAGCUCUGUGGGGAGGGAAGAAAACGGCCGGUAAGAAACGACCGGUCCUUGACGGUACCUCCUUAGCAAGCACCGGCUAACUCUGUGCCAGCAGCCGCGGUAAUACAGAGGGUGCGAACGUUGCUCGGAAUUACUGGGCGUAAAGCGCGUGUAGGCGGGUCCGCAAGUCAGAUGUGAAAUCCCCGGGCUCAACUCGGGAACUGCAUCUGAAACUGCGAGCCUUGAGUACCGGAGAGGGUGGCGGAAUUCCUGGUGUAGAGGUGAAAUUCGUAGAUAUCAGGAGGAACACCGGUGGCGAAGGCGGCCACCUGGACGGUAACUGACGCUGAGACGCGAAAGCGUGGGGAGCAAACAGGAUUAGAUACCCUGGUAGUCCACGCCGUAAACGAUGGGUGCUAGGUGUCUCGGGUAUUGACCCCUGAGGUGCCGUAGCUAACGCGUUAAGCACCCCGCCUGGGAAGUACGGUCGCAAGACUAAAACUCAAAGGAAUUGACGG